rnacentral:rRNA from 1 species
ACAGAGGGUGCGAGCGUUGAUCGGAAUUACUGGGCGUAAAGGGCGCGUAGGCGGUGAGAUAGGUGUGAUGUGAAAGCCCUGGGCUUAACCUGGGAAGUGCAUCGCAAACGAUCUGACAGGAGUAGAUGAGAGGGUGGCGGAAUUUCCGGUGUAGCGGUGAAAUGCGUAGAGAUCGGAAGGAACGUCGAUGGCGAAGGCAGCCACCUGGCAUCAUACUGACGCUGAGGCGCGAAAGCGUGGGGAGCGAACAGGA